rnacentral:rRNA from 1 species
UGCCAGCCGCCGCGGUAACACGGGGGGCGCAAGCGUUAUUCGGAAUUAUUUGGCGUAAAGGGCGCGCAGGCGGUCUUGUCCGUCAGGUGUGAAAACUCGAGGCUCAACUUCGAGAGGUCAUCGGAAACCAUCGGACUAGAGUCCGGAAGAGGAGAGUGGAAUUCCUGGUGUAGCGGUGAAAUGCGCAGAUAUCAGGAAGAACACCGAUGGCGAAGGCAGCUCUCUGGGACGGUACUGACGCUAAGACGCGAAAGCGUGGGGAGCGAACCGGAUUAGAUA